rnacentral:rRNA from 1 species
AAAACAUCGCCUCCUGCAACGCAACUGUGUAUAGGAGGUCCAGCCUGCCCAGUGACUACAAGUUCAACGGCCGCGGUAUUUUGACCGUGCAAAGGUAGCGCAAUCACUUGUCUUUUAAAUAGAGACCUGUAUGAAUGGUUAAACGAGGGCUUAACUGUCUCCCCUUUCCAGUCAGUGAAAUUGAUCUGCCCGUGCAGAAGCGGACAUAAAAAUACAAGACGAGAAGACCCUUUGGAGCUUAAGGUACAAAAUUCAACCACGUCAAACAACUCACUAAAAAGCAAAAACCUUGUGGAACAUGAAAUUCUACCUUCGGUUGGGGCGACCACGGAGAAAAACAAAGCCUCCAAGUGGAUUGGGAGAACCUCCUAAAACCAAGAGAGACAUCUCUAAGCCACAGAACAUCUGACCAAACAUGAUCCGGCUACCCAAAGCCGAUCAACGAACCAAGUUACCCUAGGGAUAACAGCGCAAUCCUCUCCCAGAGUCCAUAUCGACGAGAGGGUUUACGACCUCGAUGUUGGAUCAGGACAUCCUAAUGGUGCAGCCGCUAUUAAGGGUUCGUUUGUUCAACGAUUAAAGUCCUACGUGA